rnacentral:rRNA from 1 species
GACGAACGCUGGCGGCGUGCUUAACACAUGCAAGUCGAACGCUGAAGCUCAGCUUUUGUUGGGUGGAUGAGUGGCGAACGGGUGAGUAACACGUGAGUAACCUGCCUCCUUCUUUGGGAUAACGCCCGGAAACGGGUGCUAAUACUGGAUAUUCACUGGUCUUCGCAUGGGGGUUGGUGGAAAGGGUUUUUCUGGUGGGGGAUGGGCUCGCGGCCUAUCAGCUUGUUGGUGGGGUGAUGGCCUACCAAGGCUUUGACGGGUAGCCGGCCUGAGAGGGUGACCGGUCACAUUGGGACUGAGAUACGGCCCAGGCUACUACGGGAGGCAGCAGUGGGGAAUAUUGCACAAUGGGCGCAAGCCUGAUGCAGCGACGCCGCGUGAGGGAUGGAGGCCUUCGGGUUGUGAACCUCUUUCGCUCAUGGUCAAGCCGCAACAAUGGUUGUGGUGAGGGUAGUGGGUAAAGAAGCGCCGGCUAACUACGUG